GCGCAUGUAACUCAGCGGUAGAGUAUGGCUUUCGUAAGGCCAGAGUCAUUGGUUCAAAUCCAAUCAUGCGCU
rnacentral:tRNA from 1 species